AGGAGUUUAGGUUACCAUCAGACCAAGAGCCUUCAAAGCUCUAAGCAAGUAUAAUUUACUUAACUCCUG
rnacentral:tRNA from 1 species